rnacentral:rRNA from 1 species
GACGAACGCUGGCGGCGUGCUUAACACAUGCAAGUCGAACGGAAAGGCCCUGCUUGCAGGGUACUCGAGUGGCGAACGGGUGAGUAACACGUGGGUGAUCUGCCCUGCACUUCGAGAUAAGCCUGGGAAACUGGGUCUAAUACCGGAUAGGAGCCAUUUUUAGUGUGAUGGUUGGAAAGUUUUUUCGGUGUAGGAUGAGCUCGCGGCCUAUCAGCUUGUUGGUGGGGUAAUGGCCUACCAAGGCGGCGACGGGUAGCCGGCCUGAGAGGGUGGACGGCCACAUUGGGACUGAGAUACGGCCCAGACUCCUACGGGAGGCAGCAGUGGGGAAUAUUGCACAAUGGGCGCAAGCCUGAUGCAGCGACGCCGCGUGGGGGAUGACGGCCUUCGGGUUGUAAACUCCUUUCGCUAGGGACGAAGCUUUUUGUGACGGUACCUAGAUAAGAAGCACCGGCUAACUACGUG